GAGAGGAAGAAACAGCAGACAAAGGAAAAGGGAAGGAAAGAAAGAAAGGAACAGAGUGCUUUUCGUCUUUUCUUUCUUUCUUUCUUUCUUUCUUUCUUU
rnacentral:ribozyme from 1 species